rnacentral:rRNA from 2 species
UUCGCAAUGCCCGAAAGGGUGACGAAGCGACGCCGCGUGGGUGAGGAAGGCCUUCGGGUUGUAAAACCCUGUCAGGAGUUAAGAAAUGUAAGUGCGCUAAUAUCGCAUUUAUUUGACGAAGGCUCCAAAGGAAGCCACGGCUAACUCUGUGCCAGCAGCCGCGGUAAUACAGAGGUGGCAAGCGCUGUUCGGAAUUAUUGGGCGUAAAGAGCACGUAGGUGGAUUUGUAAGUCAGAUGUGAAAGCCUUCUGUUCAACGGAAGAAUUGCAUCUGAAACUGCGAGUCUUGAGUGUAGGAGGGGAGAAUGGAACUUCCGGUGGAGCGGUGAAAUGCGUAGAUAUCAGAAGGAACGCCGGCGGCGAAAGCGAUUCUCUGGCCUAUUACUGACACUGAGUGUGCGAAAGCUAGGGGAGCAAACGGGAUUAGAUACCCCGGUAGUCCUAGCCGUAAACGAUGGGCACUAAGUAGAGGGGUUUU